GACUGCCGGAAUGAAGCUGCGCCGCUGGGGACAUCCUCCAUGACCCAUUCAAAGCCCUUGGGGUAGUAUAUCCCUGUCCUUGGGUGUGGCACCCACAAUGAUGUUUCUGCUGACCGCACUUCUGCAGGCUCCAGUCGCCUCACGAGGUUCAGAGUGGAUGACUAGUUACCGGAGGAGAGCUGUCGAUUUCGCAAGUGCAUGGCGGCCCAUUGACUCAGGCUGCAGAGGUUAACAAGAUGCGGUGGUGGUUAUCCUUGGUAGGAACCAGCUGAUGGCAGUUCCCCCUUGCUUGGUACCUCCCUCAUCCUCAACCCAGGUAUUUAUACACUAGCUGUAGCCUUAGCAGAUCGAAUGCCACCACCAAUCCAUCAUGGUCCUGGUAAUGAAACAUACACCGUACGUUCAUUGGAUUAUGGAGAAUCGGACACGCUUAGCUAACUAGGAGUGGGAUUUAUUACUGGUCUUGGGGAUUUACAAACGAUUUUGUUCGCUGUCGCUAGCUUCCGAUUGGGCAACUAAUUAAAAUGAUGGUUUCCAGCCUCUGAUUAGACCCCUCUGGACAAAACACCAUUGGAACUGAUGCUCCAAGAAUCUGAGUCAAUUGUCGUGAUAAAUGCAAUCUGGGACUGUACUGUUGCUACUCGUGGAAUCGUGCGACAGCAGCACCGAUGCUGUAGUUAGCAUUAUUAGCAAAGUGGAACCUUGGCUUUUAGAACAAAAGAUGGGAACAUGAUACAACCAGUAGAAAAGCUAUUACUUAAAUUCCCUGGUGACGUUGCUAUAGUUAGCUGCAAAUAAUUUCUGUUAUAAACUUGUGGAUUCCAUAUGAACAAGAUUGACACGUAGACCCAAUGAUGGGUGAACUCAGGGUGGAAAUACAUCAGGAAUUGAUUUGUAAUGCAGAUUUCAAGCAACAUAUGCUCACAUUAAAGAUUGUCUCUUUUACUUAC